GGUCAACAAAUGCACCCUGCAAAAAGAAGUAAAAAUAAAACAACAUCAGUGCAAGAAAGAAUGUGAUAUUCAAGAAUGUAGACACAGACCAGUCACACCAAUCUUAACAGUCUUGCAAUGAGUGAGAAGGCAAGAAGAGGGAGGGAAAAAUACAUUAUAAAAGACUGGAGGGCAACAAAUCACCCAAACCACACAUCCAAUGAUCCAGAUAUCAGGGAUCCUAGAGCCAAGAAAUUAACUCAAACACCAUGGAAGACAGUUUGGAGAUUUCAGCAACUGCUAAGGACAAUUAUUACAGGGGAGAGAGAGAGAGAG
rnacentral:misc_RNA from 1 species